rnacentral:rRNA from 1 species
GAAGCCUUCGGGCUUAGUGGCGGACGGGUGAGUAACGCGUGGGAACGUGCCCCUUGGUACGGAAUAGUCCCGGGAAACUGGGUUUAAUACCGUAUAUUCUCUCUGGAGGAAAGAUUUAUCGCCAAGGGAUCGGCCCGCGUUGGAUUAGGUAGUUGGUGGGGUAAUGGCCUACCAAGCCCGCGAUCCAUAGCUGGUUUGAGAGGAUGAUCAGCCACACUGGGACUGAGACACGGCCCAGACUCCUACGGGAGGCAGCAGUGGGGAAUCUUAGACAAUGGGGGAAACCCUGAUCUAGCCAUGCCGCGUGAGCGAUGAAGGCCUUAGGGUUGUAAAGCUCUUUCGCUGGGGAAGAUAAUGACGGUACCCAGUAAAGAAGCCCCGGCUAACUCCGUGCCAGCAGCCGCGGUAAUACGGAGGGGGCUAGCGUUGUUCGGAAUUACUGGGCGUAAAGCGCGCGUAGGCGGAUUGGAAAGUUGGGGGUGAAAUCCCGGGGCUCAACCCCGGAACUGCCUCCAAAACUAUCAGUCUGGAGUUCGAGAGAGGUGAGUGGAAUUGCGAGUGUAGAGGUGAAAUUCGUAGAUAUUCGCAGGAACACCAGUGGCGAAGGCGGCUCACUGGCUCGAUACUGACGCUGAGGUGCGAAAGUGUGGGGAGCAAACA